rnacentral:rRNA from 1 species
AGAGUUUGAUCCUGGCUCAGGACGAACGCUGGCGGUGCGCUUAAUGCAUGCAAGUCGAACGGGCAAAGGGGCUUCGGCCUCCGCGCUAGUGGCAGACGGCUGAGUAACACGUAAGUGAUCUGCCCCGGAGAGGGGGAUAACCCGGAGAAAUCCGGCCUAAUACCCCAUACGUUCAUGUGGUUAUGGCCAUGUGAAGAAAGGUUUACGUCGCUCUGGGAGGAGCUUGCGGCCUAUCAGGUAGUUGGUGGGGUAAAGGCCUACCAAGCCGAAGACGGGUAACCGAUGUGAGAGCAUGAUCGGUCAGAGGGGGACUGAGACACGGCCCCCACUCCUACGGGAGGCAGCAGCAGGGAAUCUUGCGCAAUGGGCGAAAGCCUGACGCAGCGACACCGCGUGGGGGAAGAAGGCCUCAGGGUUGUAAACCCCUUUUCUGUGGGAAGAGAUAGGACGGUACCACAGGAAUAAGCAUCGGCUAACUACGUGCCAGCAGCCGCGGUAAUACGUAGGAUGCAAGCGUUGUCCGGAUUUACUGGGCGUAAAGGGUGUGUAGGCGGCAUGGUAAGUCUCAUGUGAAAUCUCCCGGCUCAACUGGGAGGGGUCAUGGGAAACUGCCAAGCUUGAGGGCAGCAGAGGAAAGCGGAAUUCCGGGAGUAGUGGUGGAAUGCGUAGAUACCCGGAGGAACACCAGAGGCGAAGGCGGCUUUCUGGGCUGUGCCUGACGCUGAUACACGAAAGCGUGGGGAGCAAACCGGAUUAGAUACCCGGGUAGUCCACGCCCUAAACGAUGGAUACUAGAUAUAGGGGGUAUCGACCCCUCCUGUGUCGGAGUUAACGCGAUAAGUAUCCCGCCUGGGGAGUACGGCCGCAAGGCUAAAACUCAAAGGAAUUGACGGGUCCCCGCACAAGCGGCGGAGCGUGUGGUUUAAUUCGAUGAUAAGCGAAGAACCUUACCUGGGCUUGACAUGCAUUUGACAACCCAUGAAAAUGGGCUUUCCUUAGGGACAGAUGCACAGAUGUUGCAUGGCUGUCGUCAGCUCGUG